rnacentral:rRNA from 1 species
GCAAUGCGCGAAAGCGCGACAAGGGGAUUCCAAGUGCAUGCACUCAGUGUAUGCUUUUCGUGAGUUUAAAACGCUCAUGGAAUAAGGGCUGGGUAAGACUGGUGCCAGCCGCCGCGGUAAUACCAGCGGCCCUAGUGGUGAUCGUUAUUAUUGGGCCUAAAGCGUCCGUAGCCGGUUCGGUAAAUCUCUGGGUAAAUCGUUGGGCUUAACUCAACGAAUUCUGGGGAGACUGCCGAACUUGGGACCGGGAGAGGUCGGAGGUACUCCAGGGGUAGGGGUGAAAUCCUGUAAUCCUUGGGGGACCACCGGUGGCGAAGGCGUCCGACCAGAACGGGUCCGACGGUAAGGGACGAAGCCCUGGGGCGCGAACCGGAUUAGAUACCCGGGUAGUCCAGGGUGUAAACGCUGUGCGCUUGGUGUUGGGGGUCCCAUGUGGGCAUCCAGUGCCGGAGAGAAGUUGUUAAGCGCACCGCCUGGGGAGUACGGUCGCAAGACUGAAACUUAA